rnacentral:rRNA from 1 species
GAUGAACGCUGGCGGCGUGCCUAAUACAUGCAAGUCGAGCGAACAGACGAGGAGCUUGCUCCUCUGACGUUAGCGGCGGACGGGUGAGUAACACGUGGAUAACCUACCUAUAAGACUGGGAUAACUUCGGGAAACCGGAGCUAAUACCGGAUAAUAUAUUGAACCGCAUGGUUCAAUAGUGAAAGACGGUUUUGCUGUCACUUAUAGAUGGAUCCGCGCCGCAUUAGCUAGUUGGUAAGGUAACGGCUUACCAAGGCAACGAUGCGUAGCCGACCUGAGAGGGUGGUCGGCCGCCCUGGAAGGGAGACACGGUCCAGAGUCCUAAGGGAGGCAGCAGUAGGGAAGCGUCCGCAAUGGGCGAGAGUCUGACGGAGCAACGCCGCGUGAGUGAUGACGGUCUUCGGAUCGUAAAACUCUGUUAUUAGGGAAGAACAAAUGUGUAAGUAACUAUGCACGUCUUGACGGUAACUAAUCAGAAAGCCACGGCUAACUACGUG